rnacentral:rRNA from 1 species
GGAAAAUGGGGGGCGGCCUAACACAUGCAAGUCGAGCGGAAACGAGUUAACUGAACCUUCGGGGAACGUUAACGGCGUCGAGCGGCGGACGGGUGAGUAAUGCCUGGGAAAUUGCCCUGAUGUGGGGGAUAACCAUUGGAAACGAUGGCUAAUACCGCAUAAUAGCCCGGUUCUUCGGAAUGGGUCUCAAAGAGGGGGACCUUUUAGGCCUCUCGCGUCAGGAUAUGCCCAGGUGGGAUUAGCUAGUUGGUGAGGUAAUGGCUCACCAAGGCGACGAUCCCUAGCUGGUCUGAGAGGAUGAUCAGCCACACUGGAACUGAGACACGGUCCAGACUCCUACGGGAGGCAGCAGUGGGGAAUAUUGCACAAUGGGCGCAAGCCUGAUGCAGCCAUGCCGCGUGUAUGAAGAAGGCCUUCGGGUUGUAAAGUACUUUUAGCAGUGAGGAAGGUGGGUAUGUUAAUAGCAUACACAUUUGACGUUAGCUGCAGAGGAAGCACCGGCUAACUCCGUGCCAGCAGCCGCGGUAAUACGGAGGGUGCGAGCGUUAAUCGGAAUUACUGGGCGUAAAGCGCAUGCAGGUGGUUUGUUAAGUCAGAUGUGAAAGCCCGGGGCUCAACCUCGGAAUUGCAUUUGAAACUGGCAAACUAGAGUACUGUAGAGGGGGGUAGAAUUUCAGGUGUAGCGGGUGAAAUGCGUAGAGAUCUGAAGGGAAUACCGGUGGCGAAGGCGGCCCCCCUGGACAGAUACUGACACUUCAGAUGCUAAAAGCGUGGGGAGCCAAACAGGAUUGAGAUACCCCUGGGUAGGUCCACGGCCGUA